UAUUGCCUCAAUCGAAGCCAUUUUGUUGUUUUUUCAACAAUAUGGUCAAAACUGAGGUAAAUUAAACUUCUCUAGACGGUCGCAGAUCUCAAAAUAUUUGGUUUGCAUACAAAAAAGAGAGACAUCA
rfam:Biomphalaria glabrata isolate BB02 linkage group LG11 unlocalized genomic scaffold LG11_random_Scaffold634, whole genome shotgun sequence.